GAUGAACGCUGGCGGCGUGCCUAAUACAUGCAAGUCGAGCGAACGGACGAGAAGCUUGCUUCUCUGAUGUUAGCGGCGGACGGGUGAGUAACACGUGGAUAACCUACCUAUAAGACUGGGAUAACUUCGGGAAACCGGAGCUAAUACCGGAUGAUAUUUUGAACCGCAUGGUUCAAUAGUGAAAGACGGUCUUGCUGUCACUUAUAGAUGGAUCCGCGCUGCAUUAGCUAGUUGGUAAGGUAACGGCUUACCAAGGCAACGAUGCAUAGCCGACCUGAGAGGGUGAUCGGCCACACUGGAACGGAGACACGGUCCAGACUCCUACGGGAGGCAGCAGUAGGGAAUCUUCCGCAAUGGGCGAAAGCCUGACGGAGCAACGCCGCGUGAGUGAUGAAGGUCUUCGGAUCGUAAAACUCUGUUAUUAGGGAAGAACAUAUGUGUAAGUAACUGUGCACAUCUUGACGGUACCUAAUCAGAAAGCCACGGCUAACUACGUG
rnacentral:rRNA from 1 species